rnacentral:rRNA from 1 species
ACCCGCUGAACUUAAGCAUAUCAAUAAGGCGGAGGAAAAGAAACUAACAAGGAUUCCCCUAGUAACGGCGAGUGAAGCGGGAUGAGCUCAAAUUUAAAAUCUGGCUGGUUUACUAGUCCGAAUUGUAGUUUAAAGAAGCGUUUUCGGUGGCAGCCUGGGUAUAAAUCCUUUGGAACAGGGUAUCAUAGAGGGUGAGAAUCCCGUCUUUGACUCAGUGCAUGCUACUAUGUGAUACGUUUUCAAAGAGUCGAGUUGUUUGGGAAUGCAGCUCAAAAUGGGUGGUAAAUUUCAUCUAAAGCUAAAUAUUGGCGAGAGACCGAUAGCGAACAAGUACCGUGAGGGAAAGAUGAAAAGAACUUUGAAAAGAGAGUUAAACAGUGCGUGAAAUUGUUGAAAGGGAAACGCUUGACACCAGUCAUGCGAGCGGAAAAUCAGUCUUUUGCAGUGGGGAGUUGUGUGGGUUCGGACCGCAAGGCCGGCCUGCGCUGCAUCUCUGCUGUAAGUGAUGCACUUUUUCGUUUGCAGGCCAACAUCAGUUUCUUCUGCUGGACAAAACUCUUGAGAAGGUGGCAGCUUAGGCUGUGUUAUAGCUCUUGAGCGAUACAGUGGAGGGGACUGAGGUUUUCGCAGCGCGUGCUCUCGGGCAAGGCUGAUUGGGUGCUAUGGGAUCGUUCGGUGUACAAUGCAUGCAUUUUGCGCCGUGUCUUUUCUAUACUCGCUCAACUCGGCUCUUCCGCGCUUAGGAUGUUGGCUUAAUGGUUUUAAUCGACCCGUCUUGAAACACGG